GUUUGAUCCUGGCUCAGAUUGAACGCUGGCGGCAUGCUUUACACAUGCAAGUCGAACGGCAGCGCGGGGGCAACCCUGGCGGCGAGUGGCGAACGGGUGAGUAAUGUAUCGGAACGUAUCCAGUAAUGGGGGAUAACCAGUCGAAAGAUUGGGUAAUACCGCAUACGCUCGAGAGAGGAAAGCAGGGGAUCGCAAGACCUUGCGUUAUUGGAGCGGCCGAUAUCUGAUUAGCUAGUUGGUGGGGUAAAGGCCUACCAAGGCGACGAUCAGUAGCUGGUCUGAGAGGACGACCAGCCACACUGGGACUGAGACACGGCCCAGACUCCUACGGGAGGCAGCAGUGGGGAAUUUUUGACAAUGGGCGAAAGCCUGAUCCAGCCAUGCCGCGUGCAGGAAGAAGGCCUUCGGGUUGUAAACUGCUUUAGUCUAGGAAAAAGGGAUGCGAGGUUAAUACCCUCGUGUUUUGAUGGUACUGGAAGAAUAAGCACCGGCUAACUACGUGCCAGCAGCCGCGGUAAUACGUAGGGUGCAAGCGUUAAUCGGAACUACUGGGCGUAAAGCGUGCGCAGGCGGUCUUGUAAGACAGUCGUGAAAUCCCUGGGCUUAACCCUAGGAACUGCGAUUGUGACUGCAAGGCUAGAGUGUC
rnacentral:rRNA from 1 species